UACGGAGGAUGCAAGCGUUAUCCGGAAUGAUUGGGCGUAAAGCGUCCGCAGGUGGCUAUGUAAGUCUGCUGUCAAAGAGCGAAGCUCAACUUCGUAAAGGCAGUGGAAACUACAUGGCUAGAGUGCGUUCGGGGCAGAGGGAAUUCCGGGUGUAGUGGUGGAAUGCGUAGAGAUCCGGAGGAACACCAGCGGCGAAGGCGGCGUCCUGGACUGGUACUGACGCUCAGGAGCGAAAGCGUGGGGAGCGAUCCGG
rnacentral:rRNA from 1 species